GAUGAACGCUGGCGGCGUGCCUAAUACAUGCAAGUCGAGCGAAGCGGGGACGGGUGAGUACCACGUGGCUAACCUCCUAUAAGACUGGGAUACCUUAGGGAAACCGGAGCUCAACCGGACACUUAUAGAUGGUUCCGCGCUGCAUUAGCUAGUUGGUACGGUAACGGCUUACCAAGGCAACGAUGCAUAGCCGACCUGAGAGGGUGAUCAGCCACACUGGAACUGAGACACGGUCCAGACUCCUACGGGAGGCAGCAGUAGGGAAUCUUCCGCAAUGGGCGAAAGCCUGACGGAGCAACGCCGCGUGUGUGAUGAAGGUCUUCGGAUCGUAAAACUCUGUUAGUAGGGAAGCGGUACCUAAACAGAAAGCCACGGCUAACUACGUGCCAGCAGCCGCGGUAAUAC
rnacentral:rRNA from 1 species